GAGGGGCAGACAGAUGCCUCGUGCGCCUAUUCUUUGAAAUAAAGAGAGCCGCGAUUUUUGAGCUCGACUACGGACAGAUUUGGGUCAAACUCAUGGGACACCAAGUUCGGGAAGUCCACAUUUUACUG
ensembl:ncRNA C31H5.10 ncRNA